rnacentral:rRNA from 1 species
UAGAGUUUGAUCAUGGCUCAGAUUGAACGCUGGCGGCAGGCCUAACACAUGCAAGUCGAGCGGUAACACAAGGGAGCUUGCUCCUGAGGUGACGAGCGGCGGACGGGUGAGUAAUGCCUAGGUAUCUGCCCAAUCGAGGGGGAUAACAGUUGGAAACGACUGCUAAUACCGCAUACGCCCUACGGGGGAAAGGAGGGGACCUUCGGGCCUUUCGCGAUUGGAUGAACCUAGGUGGGAUUAGCUAGUAGGUGGGGUAAUGGCUCACCUAGGCGACGAUCCCUAGCUGGUCUGAGAGGAUGAUCAGCCACACUGGAACUGAGACACGGUCCAGACUCCUACGGGAGGCAGCAGUGGGGAAUAUUGCACAAUGGGCGAAAGCCUGAUGCAGCCAUGCCGCGUGUAUGAAGAAGGCCUUCGGGUUGUAAAGUACUUUCAGCGAGGAGGAAAGCUCAAUUGUUAAUAGCAGUUGGGUGUGACGUUACUCGCAGAAGAAGCACCGGCUAACUUCGUGCCAGCAGCCGCGGUAAUACGAGGGGUGCAAGCGUUAAUCGGAAUUACUGGGCGUAAAGCGUACGCAGGCGGUUUGUUAAGCGAGAUGUGAAAGCCCCGGGCUCAACCUGGGAACUGCAUUUCGAACUGGCAAACUAGAGUCCUGUAGAGGGGGGUAGAAUUUCA